CCUGCCAGUGAACUAAUUUAACGGCCGCGGUAUCUUGACCGUGCAAAGGUAGCAUAAUCAAUUGUUCUUUAAAUAAGGACUAGUAUGAACGGCACCACGAGGGUUUAACUGUCUCCCUAUUUUAAUCAAUGAAAUUGAUCUCCCCGUGAAGAAGCGGGGAUACAACUAUAAGACGAAAAGACCCCAUGGAGCUUUAAACUUAUUUUCAAUUACCAAAGCCCAAAACAUAUACCCGGUAAAAAUGAUAAUCGUUUUCGGUUGGGGCGACCCUGGAGAAAAAUAAAUCCUCCAAGCUGAAUAGACUAAAAAUCUAAUAUUAGAGCAACAACUCAAAUAAUCAAAACCUUGACAAAAUGACCCAGAAUUCAUCUGAUCAACGAACCAAGUUACCCUGGGGAUAACAGCGCAAUCCAUUUCAAGAGCCCUUAUCGACAAAUGGGUUUACGACCUCGAUGUUGGAUCGGGAUAUCCUAGCAG
rnacentral:rRNA from 1 species